AGCUGGACCUCAGAAGGUGGUCCUUGGGUGGACAACAAGGAGACUGUCCAUAUCUCUCUAGAUCAACGUUCGUCAAAGGCAGCCCUUUACAGUUUACAAAGCACUCGCAAAUCUUUUUGACCCGGAUGACCCACACAGCAACCUUGGAGCCAGGAAGACGGGGGUCUCACUGCUCCCAGAGGAGCGAAGUGACUAUUCUGAGGCCAUUAAGCUGGUGGAGCUCCUUACCCAUGGUGACACAAAUAGGAAGCUGGGGAGGAAGAAUUCAAACCCAGGACUGCCUGUCUUCAGAAUCUGUGUUUUCAUCAUAAGGCCGCCUCUACAGAAGCACCUUCCUGUUUAUACACGAUGGUGGAAAGUUCCAGAAUGUCUUCAGCCCCGUGGUACUGCUGCAAAUGGCAUCUCUCUUCCCGGCCACCCUGGUUCCCGGGCCCCCGUAGCCUCAUCCCCGGAAGCUAGAACAGAGUCCAAACGGAAGGAUGUGCCCGCUGGGUCUCUUUUGAGUGACUUCUGAGUCUUGGCUGUUGGCAGACCGCUGGAAUAUUCCAAUAUGCAUUCUCCUCUCUUUCGAGGUGAACAGAAGCCUGAUGCUUUGGCUGAGCACAGGGCCACCCCCAAAGUGAAGACUGCAUUUCUCAGCAUUCUUUGCAACGAGCAGUGGCUAUUUGACUAGGUUUUGCCCAAAAGGCAUGAGUGUGGCCUGUAGAGGCUCGAGUUGUGCCCUUGGGGGGGAUGGUGUUA
rnacentral:lncRNA from 1 species